CCGCAAAGCAUCUCACUCCGUAGUUACAAUUUUAGUCUUAUUACUAUUCUGGCCAUAGCAUUGCACCUCAUUUUUUUACUUCUCUUAAAUUAAGAAAUAGUACAAAUGGCCUUUUCUGUAGGGAAAUCUUUUGGACUUUCCACAACUUUUGAUCCCCUGCAACAAAAUAUUUUCAGUACUAAACCUUAUGUUUCAUCAUUUUUCUCCAAGAAAAUUACUCUACAAAAGUGUGACAAGGCCAAUAUUCUGUCCAAAAAGCCUCUGUAUAUUACAGCAGUGAGUGGAUUUGGGCAUGUUGAUGAAUCAAAAGAGUCAAAAUAUAGGGACAAAUUGGUCCAAUGCAAUGCUUAUGAAGCAAGCAGACCACAGUCAAUACCAAUUAGCAUUGAUUUUGAUCAAGAAACUCAAGCUGCUGCUGCUCAGAAGCUCAAGAUUGGGCUUUAUUUUGCAACAUGGUGGGCAUUAAAUGUGGUGUUCAAUAUUUAUAAUAAAAAGGUUUUAAAUGCCUUCCCAUUUCCAUGGCUUACUUCUACUCUUUCACUUGCUGCUGGCUCUCUCAUUAUGUUGGUUUCUUGGGCUACUAGAAUUGCUGAAACUCCCAAAACUGACAUUGAUUUUUGGAAAACUUUGUUUCCUGUUGCUGUGGCACAUACAAUUGGACAUGUGGCUGCAACAGUAAGCAUGUCAAAAGUUGCAGUUUCAUUCACACACAUAAUCAAGAGUGGAGAGCCUGCUUUCAGUGUUUUAGUUUCAAGUUUGCUGUUGGGUGAAACUUUCCCAUUGCCAGUUUACCUUUCACUUCUGCCAAUAAUUGGUGGUUGUGCACUUGCUGCUGUUACUGAGCUCAAUUUUAACCUAAUUGGGUUUAUGGGGGCAAUGAUAUCAAACUUGGCAUUUGUAUUCAGAAACAUAUUUUCAAAGAAAGGGAUGAAGGGGAAGUCUGUUGGAGGGAUGAAUUACUAUGCUUGUCUUUCCAUUAUGUCUCUUUUGAUUCUUACACCCUUUGCCAUUGCUGUGGAGGGUCCACAAGUAUGGGCACUUGGUUGGCAGAAUGCAGUCUCACAAAUUGGUCCUAAUUUUGUAUGGUGGGUUGUGGCCCAGAGUGUGUUCUAUCAUUUGUACAAUCAAGUCUCCUACAUGUCCCUAAAUGAGAUCUCCCCAUUGACAUUUAGCAUUGGUAACACUAUGAAGAGAAUUUCAGUCAUAGUUUCCUCCAUCAUCAUAUUCCAAAACCCAAUUCAACCAGUGAAUGCCCUUGGUGCGGCCAUUGCAAUUUUUGGAACUUUCCUCUACUCACAGGUAAAAAUACAUUCAUAUGUUUUGUAUUGUUGUCAAUGUCAAUGACUUUUCAUUGUUAGUCUGGUACCUAUGUUGCUUGUACUCUCCGAAAAUAUAGCCAGGUGCGAGUCGUAUCCUCCAAAAGUAGUGCAUUUUUGGAGGAUCUGACACGGGUACGACAACAUUUUGGAGAGUCCGUGCAAUGCAGCUGGGACCAAUAAAGAUCCAAAUGAAUCUAGCACAUUUACAACUUGUUGCUUGUUUUCAUCCUUGGCAAAGCAGUAAGAGAAGUUUGGCUAGAGAGUUAAGUGGAGAAAGGGGAGAUACUGACUUGAGCCGUUAGGAAUUAAAAGAUGGGCAGCAGUGGACUAACAUUUUGUAAUAGAAGAUUGACAUUGACUUUUAAAAUAACUAUAGUAAAUAUAAGAGGCAAAUGAUCAUGAAUGAAUGACUAUGGCUUUCUUAGUGAUGGAAAAGUUGAGAAAAGAAAUUAGUGCUGCCCUUUCCCAGCUGCAAACUUCUACACAAGAUUUUGUACUAUAUAGCACUGUUGUAUGAAGUGCUUGUAAUGAUUAAUUUAUUAUUCCUUAUUAUGAUUGUAGAUUUUGUAAUAUACUCAUAUAUAUGUUUUUUUUUUAUGUG